rnacentral:pre_miRNA from 1 species
AGGAGGAACAGCGCCAGUGGCGGGGCCAGGUCUGGAAACCUGGAUUCAGCUCCGGCAGGAACUCCGUCUGCAGGGCCUGGAGGCUCCGGGGCGGG